rnacentral:rRNA from 1 species
CAGCAGCCACGGUAAUACAGAGGGUGCGAGCGUUAAUCGGAUUUACUGGGCGUAAAGCGUGCGUAGGCGGCUUCUUAAGUCGGAUGUGAAAUCCCUGAGCUUAACUUAGGAAUUGCAUUCGAUACUGGGAAGCUAGAGUAUGGGAGAGGAUGGUAGAAUUCCAGGUGUAGCGGUGAAAUGCGUAGAGAUCUGGAGGAAUACAGAUGGCGAAGGCAGCCAUCUGGCCUAAUACUGACGCUGAGGUACGAAAGCAUGGGGAGCAAACAGGAUUAGAUACCCCCGUAGUCCCUGUCUCUUAUAC